AAAAGUCGCACAGCUGCUUCUCUUCCCCCUCCUCUGCUCUCUCUCUCCAUUCUCGCCAACGAGCUCUCUCUCUCCAUUCUCGACUCCGACGCCCCUCAAGCCGGUUGCCUCCGUCGCCCCCGACUCCGACGCCGACGACGCUGCCUCCGCCCCCAACGCCCUCUCGCGACUCCGACGCCCCCAACUCCGACGCUCCUCAAGCCGGUUGCCUCCGACGCCGACGACUCCGCCUCCGCCCCCGACGCCCUCUUGCGACUCCGAUGCCCCUCAAGCCGGUUGCCUCCGUCGCCCCGACUCCGACGACGCCGCCUCCGCCCUCAGGCCCCUUCCCUUCCUCUCCCCCAUCGCCAACUCCGUCGCGUCUCGCUGUUCCGGGUGAGCGCCGCUUCCGAUUCCUUUCUCCACUCGCUCGCUCGCAAUCGACGGCCUGAAAGUGAAUGUGCUCUUGAUUCAACUUUGGUAUCUCGUCGUCGUGAAAGGUUAGUAGCGGAUGUAGUCAUGAACUCGAGCUUACGGAUUAAAGUUGUCGAACUCCAAUGUCCCAUAUCCCGAAUCAACUAGCUAAAGAUUAUUUGCAUUCUCAAGUGAUCUGGCUUUGCAAUUGAAGUGCUUCAG
rnacentral:lncRNA from 1 species